rnacentral:lncRNA from 1 species
CUCAGAUAUAAGAGCGAGGAAGGAUUGGUUUUCAAAAUUCUAAAUAUACCAAAGCGCCUACGCCCUAUGAACAGUGAUUCCCGUAUGAACAGUGUGGUGACGACUUUGCCCCUGCCUGUUUAGAGUUUUUCUCGAUUGCCCCCCGGUGUCGUGCCGUAUCUUUCUGGCCAUCUGUCCUGUUGUUCUGUUGCCACGAAGAGAGAGAGGGUGAGAUCGGUAGCCUAAAACAGAGAGGGAGAGGGAGAGGGAGAGGGAGAGGGAGAGCGAGAGAGGUAAGAGUACUGUUUUGAUCCAGAGAGAGAGGGCGAGGAGUCUGCAUGGCUGGAGAUUGGAGCUUUUCUGGCGCAGAGAUUUUGGUUGUCGGUUGCUGAUGAGGCAGCAGAGAUAAUUAGUUUUGGGCGUGGAUUCAGAUUUUCUUCUGUCUUCAUUGGCUCUGAAGAGUUUCAAUUUAUCUAAUUUCUGUCUGUUAUGGUUGUCUUGCAGUUGGCUGCUCGCUACUGUUUGGUUGGAACGCUAGGAUUCUUUAGCUGAGAUGGAGCUAUUCCCGGUCUCACUUUGAAGAUUUACGGAAACCUCCCUAAAGGUUUGAGAGGGUCAAGGAUACAGAAAUCUAUCAUUGUUGGGAUCAUAAUCGUUCAUUACGUGUUCCUGCCUCUUAAAGGCAUAUUGAUCAUUAAAGGGGUGCUUAAAUUUUGCUUAGUGCACUCUGAUCCAUUGUAUUUGUUCUUCUGAGUCUGCACUCCCACCUGCAAUGAAUGUAGGAACCAUCACCCAGUUGUUCGGAGCAGGAGAGAAUGAGUGUUCAAUAAUCCUGCUGUGGACUAAAGUAUUUGCUUCAGUAUCACUCACUUUAUGAUCUGCCUUCUUGAUGUGGUUUGUGGCCGGGCAAGUGUGAAACAGCUACAAAUGUGCAAUUCAUAUAUAGGCAAUUGGUUUGUAUACUAGGCAAACUUUGAAUUCACCAAACUAUCUGUUCUAUAAAUCAGGUUCCAGGUUCAACCACAUAUAGUCUAGCGCUAUACUAUAUGAUGAGUUCUCUGGUUGAAGAUGCACCCUUACUGGAGAAUUUUAUUAAUGGGGAAACUUAUAUAUUCUCCCUUUUUAGAGAAUUUUAUAAAGUAUCUAGAUCCAAAUUUGAAACUUACAUCAUCUCUAUCUCCCUUUCUGUCUCUUAAUGAUCUUGAAUAUGAAAUACAUCUUAUCAGUGAAACAGAUUCACUGCCAUUCUGCCUCUCUCUUCUUCUUCUCCUUCCUUUUUUUUUUUUUUACCUGCCCUUUAACAUGACAUUUUUUUCCGUCAUAAACUUCCAUCCCUCAGUGUGAUAUGAUUUGGGUCAUGAGAAUUGAUGAUUAUGUCCCCAGGGUUGAUGGAUUGUUAAGCAGAGUGGGAAAGAAAGCAUGCCUCAUUUGGUCAAGCACUUGAAAUAAAUUACUUUUAUGGGAAGAACUACUUGGAGUUCCGUAAUAGAACAGUGGGAGUGGAUUGCUAUAUAGGAGUGCCUGCGAUACGAAAGCAAGCAUUCAAACCUGCAGCAAGAAAACAAUAUCGCGGCAUCAUUGGUCAAGAAACAUUGGCUGGAGCUGCUUCUUUAGAUACAUCCAGUCAGGUUUACCUAUUAAAAUUACGCGCACAACCCACAAAGCAGAGUCAGAAGCUGGCUUUGGGAGCAAAUCCAAAGAGAGCUUCUGUAGAUGAGAACAACAAGAGUGAGGCUGGAAAUGCAUGCGUCCAGCAUAAGAGGAGGGUAGUGCUUCAGGAUGUAACCAAUGCUUUCUGUAAACCUUCAUAUGGGGACUGCUUCAAUGCAACUGAAGUUCAGUUCUUAUUCCAAUGUCAAUGCUAAUGUGAAUGGAAAUGGGAAGGGAGUAAAUGGAAAUGGAGUGAAGAGAGAGAGCCAUCGUGAAGAGCUGCUGGGAUGAGGAAGAAAUUGAAGAAAACUUAAGCUGGAGCUUUGCUCUUAAUAAGUAUAGUUACUUUUAUAUACAUUUCCAGUAGAAUGAGUUACAUUAGUUUAGUAGUCUUGGCUUCUACACUAUCUUUUUUGCUUUUUUUUUUCUUUUUCUUCAUCUUUUUUUCUUUUUUCUUUUGGGGUUUCCUAUUUCAUUGUACAUAUAGCUGACUUAUGGCCCUAUUUUAAGAUCUGAGAUUCAAAGUUCCUUAGUUCACAGAUUGAAUGAAUUCUUCAAAAGUGACGCAUUCUUUUUUGAC